GACGAACGCUGGCGGCGUGCUUAACACAUGCAAGUCGAACGGAAAGGCCCUGCUUUUGUGGGGUGCUCGAGUGGCGAACGGGUGAGUAACACGUGAGUAACCUGCCCUUGACUUUGGGAUAACUUCAGGAAACUGGGGCUAAUACCGGAUAGGAGCUCCUGCUGCAUGGUGGGGGUUGGAAAGUUUCGGCGGUUGGGGAUGGACUCGCGGCUUAUCAGCUUGUUGGUGGGGUAGUGGCUUACCAAGGCUUUGACGGGUAGCCGGCCUGUGAGGGUGACCGGCAACAAUGGGACUGAGAUACGGCCCAGACUCCUACGGGAGGAAGCAGUGGGGAAUAUUGCACAAUGGGCGGAAGCCUGAUGCAGCAACGCCGCGUGCGGGAUGACGGCCUUCGGGUUGUAAACCGCUUUAGCCUGUGACGAAGCGUGAGUGACGGUAAUGGGUAAAGAAGCACCGGCUAACUACGUG
rnacentral:rRNA from 1 species